ensembl:snRNA U6 U6 spliceosomal RNA
GUGCUCGCUUCGGCAGCACAUAUACUAAAAUUGGAACGAUACAGAGAAGAUUAGCAUGGCCCCUGCGCAAAUAUUAAUUUGUUCAGCAACCUUACUUCACAGAAAUGU